rnacentral:rRNA from 1 species
UACGUAGGGGGCAAGCGUUGUCCGGAUUUACUGGGCGUAAAGGGCGUGCAGGCGGUUUGGUUAGUCUAGGGUGAAAGCUCCCGGCUUAACUGGGAGAGGUCCUUGGAUACUGGCAAACUUGAGGGAGGCAGAGGAAAGUGGAAUUCCCGGUGUAGUGGUGAUAUGCGUAGAUAUCGGGAGGAACACCAGUGGCGAAGGCGGCUUUCUGGGCCUUACCUGACGCUGAGACGCGAAAGCGUGGGGAGCGAACCGG